UUCCGCAGAAAGGGAACCUUCUCAUUUACACCGAGUUUGGCAAGAUGCUUGUACAGCCCAAUGAGAUCUGCGUCAUUCAGAGAGGAAUGCGGUUCAGCAUAGAUGUCUUUGAGGAGACCAGGGGCUACAUCUUGGAGGUCUAUGGUGUCCACUUUGAGUUACCUGACCUUGGACCAAUUGAUUCCUUGGGUCUUCCUAAAAGGAUGUCUCCCCGUUCAAUGUUGUGGCCUGGCACGGGAAUUAUACACCCUACAAGUACAACCUGAAGAAUUUCAUGGUUAUCAACUCAGUGGCCUUUGACCAUGCAAUCUAGCCUGAUUCCUGUCAGAGAGUGGAACUCGAGACCUCUGAUAAUCCACAUGGCCAUGGAGUAGAGCUGUGCCUGCCAAGAAUGCCAAUAUGAAUGUUUUAUGAUUGUUCUUCUGUCAAUCCAUAUUCUUUAUUAAUCCUAUACAAUUUACUAGUUUCUCCUGUGUUCUUGGAAUUCUGCAGAAAUAAUGUUUAAGGGGCUUUGUGUUUUACUGGUCUUGCCUUGGAUAAUAAAAAUAAUACUGCUUCAACCUUC
rnacentral:lncRNA from 1 species